rnacentral:tRNA from 1 species
GGUUGUGGCUCAGUGGUAGAGCGCCUGUCUAGCAUACGGGAGGCACUGAGUUCGAUUUUCAGACCA